AAUGAGAUUGAAGCUGGAAUGAAGACCAGUGUGUUACAGCUUUUCAUUUUUCAUCGACAAACAGGACUUCCAUUUGUGGCUGGGUGAUCCAAAGUACCAUGGCUGCACAAUCUGAAGCAGCCUGCCAGACUGAUGUCCCUACCAUGAUGCAACAGGAGGCACAGGUACCCACCCCCUCAGCUGCAACAGAUUCCCCACAACAAGCUGGAGCCAUCAGAAAGAUUGGCACAGUCAGCGGUAACCACUGCCCUACCAUUGUUGGUGCAAGUACAGUUAACUUCACUUAUGGACAAGGAGUACCUCCACAGAGUCAGAGACCAGACCAA